rnacentral:lncRNA from 1 species
UCAAAUCUCAACAUCGGUCAUAUGAUAGAUUCAAUUAGCUCGAGUCUAUCUGUGAUUCUCAUUGAAACUUUUUUCCAUCAAUUACACUGCUAUGGCUAUAGACUUCAGGACUCAGCCUCUUAAAUUACAUAGUAGUACUCUCCUCUGUUAGGGUCAAUAGAUUUCAUCUAGAUGCGCAUCAUAUUCCUACAGUGGACCAACUGUCGUCAACAUCCACUACAAAGGUUUAUUGAGUCAAUAUUUAUGUAUAGUCAAAUUCCAGCAGUCUCACCGCGAGCAGCUGUGGCACCGCAGGUCAAAGAUCCAGUUAUACAACUGCAGCAUCGAGAAAGUCACUAACGAAUGAGCAGACAUCCAUGUGACUUCUCGUGUUGGUCACGCUUAGUGUUAGUUGUUCUCUAACAACCAUCUGCACUCUCGCUUCAGUGUCCCUACACCGCAGAUUCGAGACUUAUUUGUCCGAAAGAAGUGAUCCGUAUACCGGUCUGUCUGGAUCAAUCACCGUCCUCGUGAUGAUCUCAUGAUCAGGAGUCAUUUAAAAAUUAACCAUCAAUGACACAUGCUUCAAAUUCUCAAUUCUUUGAGAAUAUAUGUUAUCAUCUUGUUAAUCCCUUGGACGAUUCAUGGAUAUAUAAAACAUGAAUGGUAAUAUAACUGUCCGUUAAGUACAAAAUCAUGCCUUAGAAAUAUAAUAUACGUCAGCCAAGAUUGGCUUCUAGGGCAUACAUCCAACAUUAAGUUGAGUUGGGUUUGGGGUUUUUCUAAUAGUUUUCCUUGGUAGCAAGGAUACGUACAUCUUAUUUCGGGGAUGUGUCAUGCUUGCCAUCAUUCCUGGGCAUACCUUAUUUAUGGUGAUAUAUUAACACAAUCCUUGCCCCACUGUAAGUGCUCCUUUUACUCUCCCUGGCCAG